GUCUGGGUUUUCCUGAGACUUCGGGAGCCAGAUGCAGACUCCCAAAGGCGCUGAUCCUUCCUCGAUCUCCCUCCCUCAAGAGUGGCACUAAUCAGGUCUAAUUUAGAGAAAAUCCAUCACCUCCCCCCACUGUGGGCUCUGCCACUUCAUGCCUUGGUCUCUCCACCUAUCAGCCAGCUGGAGCUUGGGACUCAAGGAGGCAUGCUUGGAAGUAAGGAACUUCUGUGAGCUGAUUGGCCUUAGCUGGCACCAUCCAUGCUCAGUGUUUGCCCUGAGGACAAGAAGACCUGGCAGAAAAGAGGAAAGUACAGAACGCGCUCCCACCUGGCUGGUGGGGAUAUAGACGGUGCAGCUGCCGUGGAAACCUUCAGCUCCACAGAAAGAAUGCACCCAUGCCACAGUGCUCCUGCCUGCAGCCUGCCAGGCAUCGGCCCACCCUGCAACAUCCAGGAUGUCAUUUGAGCCCUGGUCACACGAAAGCACUGCAUGGGAUGAAGGUGUCCUUAUGAAGGAGGCAAAGGGAGUUCUGACACGGAGAAGAGGCGGCCGUGUGAAGAUGGAGGCUGAUAUUGGAGUGAUGCAGCCACACUCCAAGGAACACCUGGAGCCACCAGAAGCCAGAAGAGGCAAGACCCCCACCCAGAGCCGUCAGAGAGCACAGUACUGCCGACGCCGACACCUUGAUUUCAGACUUCUGGCUUCCAGAACUAUGCCCUGCUCCCAGGGGUGGCUCCUCUGCUGCAACAAGAACCUGC